UACGUAGGGUGCAAGCGUUGUCCGGAAUUAUUGGGCGUAAAGAGCUCGUAGGCGGUCUGUCGCGUCGAAUGUGAAAACCCGGGGCUCAACCCCUGGCCUGCAUUCGAUACGGGCAGACUAGAGUUCGGUAGGGGAGUCUGGAAUUCCUGGUGUAGCGGUGAAAUGCGCAGAUAUCAGGAGGAACACCGGUGGCGAAGGCGGGACUCUGGGCCGAUACUGACGCUGAGGAGCGAAAGCGUGGGGAGCAAACAGG
rnacentral:rRNA from 1 species